UGAACUCGCUGUGAAGAUGCAGUGUACCCGCGGCAAGACGGAAAGACCCCGUGAACCUUUACUAUAGCUUGACACUGAACAUUGAGCCUUGAUGUGUAGGAUAGGUGGGAGGCUUUGAAGCGUGGACGCCAGUCUGCGUGGAGCCGACCUUGAAAUACCACCCUUUAAUGUUUGAUGUUCUAACGUGGAUCCGUAAUCCGGGUUGCGGACAGUGUCUGGUGGGUAGUUUGACUGGGGCGGUCUCCUCCUAAAGAGUAACGGAGGAGCACGAAGGUUGGCUAAUCCUGGUCGGACAUCAGGAGGUUAGUGCAAUGGCAUAAGCCAGCUUGACUGCGAGCGUGACGGCGCGAGCAGGUGCGAAAGCAGGUCAUAGUGAUCCGGUGGUUCUGAAUGGAAGGGCCAUCGCUCAACGGAUAAAAGGUACUCCGGGGAUAACAGGCUGAUACCGCCCAAGAGUUCAUAUCGACGGCGGUGUUUGGCACCUCGAUGUCGGCUCAUCACAUCCUGGGGCUGAAGUAGGUCCCAAGGGUAUGGCUGUUCGCCAUUUAAAGUGGUACGCGAGCUGGGUUUAGAACGUCGUGAGACAGUUCGGUCCCUAUCUGCCGUGGGCGCUGGAGAACUGAGGGGGGCUGCUCCUAGUACGAGAGGACCGGAGUGGACGCAUCACUGGUGUUCGGGUUGUCAUGCCAAUGGCACUGCCCGGUAGCUAAAUGCGGAAGAGAUAAGUGCUGAAAGCAUCUAAGCACGAAACUUGCCCCGA
rnacentral:rRNA from 1 species